UGGAGGUUUCUGGCCCGGCUGG
rnacentral:miRNA from 1 species